rfam:Triticum aestivum genome assembly, contig: Triticum_aestivum_CS42_TGACv1_scaffold_641941_T_4AL-0.067713_1BL-0.043407
CACAUACUCCCUCCGUCCGAAAAUACUUGUCAUCAAAAUGGACAAAAAAGAUGUAUCUAAAACUAAAAUACAUCUUGACACAUCCCCUUUUAUUCAUUUUGAUGACAAGUAUUUCAGGACGGAGGGAGUACAUG